GUGGUUUUCAAAUCUUCCCCACCUCUUCAAACUAAAUAUAGAACCCCCCCCCCAAUUUAUAAAUAAAAUAAAAAGUAGAAGUUGGGGCUGGCCUGGUGGCUCAGGCCUGUAAUCCCAGCACUUUGGGAGGCCAGGGCGGGUGGAUCACUUGAGAUCAAGAGUUCAAGACCAGCCUGGCCAACGUGGCGAAACCCCAUCUCUACUAAAAAUACAAAAAUUAGCCAGGCGUGAUGGUGCAUGCCUAUAAUCCCAGCUACUCAGGAGGCUGAUGCAGGAGAAUCGCUUGAACCCGGGAGGCGGAGGUUGCAGUGAGCCGAGAUCGUGCCAUUGCAUUCCAGCCGGGGCGAUGAGAGAAACUCCGUCACAUAAAAAAAUAGAAGUUUGGGUAUAUGUAUGGGAGGGAUGUGUACACCAUUCUCUGGGCCCACUUCACCCAGCGCCACCUACUUCAGUUCAUUUUCUUCAGUUGGGUUCCCUGUGUAAUUCAAGUUUCCCCAUAACAGAAAAGCCAAAAGAGCUGACUUUUCACACACAAGAGUGGAGAAUAAGAAUACAGUACUAUAGGCUGGGCGUGGUGGCUCAUGCCUAUAAUCCCAGCACUUUGGGAGGCCGAGGCGGAUGGAUCACGAGGUCUAGAUAGAGACCAGCCUGGCCAACAUGGUGAAAACCUGUCUCUACUAAAAAUACAAAAAUUAGCUGGGCAUGGUGGUGCACGCUUGUAGUCUCAGCUAUUCGGGAAGCUGAGGCAGGAGAAUUGCUUGAACCCGAGAGACGGAGGUUGCAGUGAGCCAAGAUUGCACCACUGCACUCCAGCCUGGCUACACAGCGAGACUCCAUCUCAAAAAAAAAUAAUAAUAAUACAGUAGUAUAAACAUGGACAAGUGCAAAAAGCUACAUAACAAAUUUUAAACCCUAAGCUAAAUAUUUACACUCAGUGGGAAAGAUGAACAAGCCAGUAACCCUAAUGGCUGAAGCACUUACCUCUUAAAUUUGUACUUAAGGGCUUAAGAAAAUGUCCUCUACACACCUGGUCAUUAGUAUCUUUUAGAUCAGCAUUUCUCAAACUUUAAGAUACACAUUGGGAAUUUUUUUUUUUUUGAGACAGUCUUGCUGUGUCGCCAGGGUGCAGUGCAGUGGCACGAUCUGGGCUCACUGCAAGCUCCGCCUCCCAGGUCAAGCAAUUCUUCUGCCUCAGCCUCCCAAGUAGCUGGGACUACAGGCGUGCACCACCACGCCCAGUUGUAUUUUCAGUAGAGACGGGGUUUCACCAUGUUGGCCAGGAUGGCCUUGAUCUCUUGACCUCGUGAUACACCCACCUCAGCCUCCCAAAGUGCUGGGAUUACAGGCAUGAGCCACUGCACCCGGCCCACAUUGGGAAUUUUUUUUUUUUUAAACAGUGUCACUCUGUUGCCCAGACUGGAGUGCAGUGGCACAAUCUCAGCUCACUACAACCUCUGCCUCCCAGAUUCAAGUGAUUCUCCUGCCUCAGCCUCCUAAGUAGCUGGGAUUACACGCAUGCGUCACCACACACACCUAAUUUUUGUUAUUUUUUGUAGAGAUGGGUUUUCCCCAUGUUGGCCAGCCUGGUCUCAAACUCCCAGCCUCAAGUGAUCCGCCCACCUUGGCCUCCCAAAGUGUGGGAUUACAGGCAUGAGCCACCACACCUGACCCACAUUGGGAAAUCUUGUUAAUAUCAGAUUACAAUUAAGUGGGAAUAGUGGUGAGGCUGAGACUAUUUCUAAUAAGUUCCCUGGUGAUACUGAGGCUGCUGUUCCUCAAAUCAUACUUGGGAGUAGCAAUGUUCUAGAGAUGAUCUAGUGGGUUUUUUUGAGACAGAGUUACUCUAUCGCCCAGGCUGGAAUGCAGUGGAAAUCUCGGCUCACUGCAACCUCUGCCUCCCAGGUUCAAGUGAUUCUCCUGCCUCAGCCUCCCAACUAGCUGGGAUUACACGCACCCACCACCAUGCCCGGCUAAUUUUUGUAUUUUUAGUAGAUACAGGGUUUCGCCAUGUUGGCCAUGCUUGUCUUGAACUCCUGACUUCACGUGGUCCACCUGCCUUGGCCUCCCAAAGUGCUGGGAUAACAGGCAUAAACCACCACGCCUGGCAAGAUUUGAUUAUGACUUAUCAGAUCUAAACAGAGUUCCUGAACUAGUCAAGUAGCAAUCUAAUUCUACAUUAGAACAAAACGCAAGAGAUAGGCCAAUGGUUAGAACUGAGGGUAUAAUAGGGUUUACCUGUAUGAAAUUCACUGUUUAUUAAGUCACUUUUAUGUACAGAAAGACCUGCCCUAGUUACCAUAUCACUUUUAGGGUUUCAAGGCUUCAUCUCACAUUCUUCAGCUGAAAACAGGUAAAUCUGGUGAAGGUAUUAUCUGAACUGCCCGUCACAGAGCUAGAGAGAAGUUUUUCUUUUGUUUUUUUUUUUUUUGAGACAGUCUCUCACUCUCACCCUGGCUGGAGUGCAUUGGUGUGAUCUCAACUCACUGCAACCUCCACCUUCCAGGUUCAAGCAAUUCUCCUGCCUCAGUCUCCCGAGUACCUGGGAUUACAGGCGCCUGCCACCAAGCCCAGCUAAUUUUUUUUAGUAGAGACGGGGUUUUGCCACCUUGCCCAGGCUGGUCUCGAACUCCUGAGCUCCUGCAAUCCACUCACCUCAGCCUCCCUAAAUGCUGGGAUUAUAGGCAUGAGGAACCGCACCCAGCCUAAAGAGAAGUUUUUCUUUUUUUUUUUUUUUUGAGACGGAGUCUCGCUCUGUCACCCAGGCUGGAGUGCAGUGGCGCGCUCUCGGCUCACUGCAAGCUCCGCCUCCCGGGUUCACACCAUUCUCCUGCCUCAGCCUCCCGAGUAGCUGGGACUACAGGCGCCUGCCACCGCACCCGGCUAAUUUUUUUUUGUAUUUUUUAGUAGAGACGGGGUUUCACCGUGGUCUCGAUCUCCUGACCUUGUGAUCCGCCCGCCUCGGCCUCCCAAAGUGCUGGGAUUGCAGGCGUGAGCCACUGCGCCCGGCCAAGAGAAGUUUUUCUUAAAAUCCUUUUUUUGGGGGGGCCAGGAUCGGUGGCUAACAUCUGUAAUCCCAGCAACUUUGGGAGGUCGAGGCAGGCGGAUCAUGAGGUCAAGCAAUCGAGACCAUCCUGGCCAACAUGGUGAAACCUCAUCUCUAUUAAAAAUACAAAAAUUAGCUGAGUGUGGUAGCACG
rnacentral:lncRNA from 1 species